GGAUAUGGAGAUCAGACUGCCAGCAAUUCAUUUCAGCUACUUUUAAUCCAAUCGCUAUGGAUUCGUGGAGGGUAACUUAGGAAAGUUAAAGAAAAAAUUCAAAUUUUAAAUCCUUCUCUUCUUUCCAGCAACCAUAAUAUCUAUUCAGAUAUGAUGAAAAUUUAUUUUAUUUCUACUUCAUCUUCUCUCUCAUUUCCCUCACCUAUUUUAUUUUCUCUCCAAAUCUGGAUCUAAAGAGAGUUAGGAAUCCAACUCCCACCACCUUCGUUGUUUCCGAAUCCAACUCCGACCACCUCCGUUGAAGGGAAGUUCAAGUCCGGUUUUCAUAGAGCUUGAUUAUUCCUCUUCGGAACAUCAGGCAGGUCAUUCAUCGUUUGGACUUCUCUUUCUCUUUGUUUCUGUAACCUAGAUUAAUGGGUUACUUCUUCUUCCCUAAUAUAUCAUCAUUUCUUUAUAUUUUGCUUGAAUUUCAUUUCAUUGGUGGUGAAAUCAGUGUCUUGUUUUUGUCAGAUUGAUGGUUUGUUUAGUUCAUGCAAGGGAACGUUUUUAUUUUCUGGGCAUGGAUCUGGUAUUGUUUGAUUUCUAAGAUAGAUCUGAUUGUGAAAUUAAAUUGUUUUAUUUGUUUUCGUUUGGUUUGGGUUUUCCCUUUUUUUGGUUGGGAGGGGUCUUUGUUUGGAGUGGUCUAGUGACUUUUAAAUUAGACUUUUGUUUUGUUUGUUAAUCGCCUUUUUUCUCAUGUUGCUAUUUUAAUUACUUAGUGGGUUUCAAAUUCAGGUAUUUUUGUGGCUAAUUUGUGUUAUGGUCCAAAUGAAAAAUGCAGGAAAAGCAAUCCAAAAGGAUCGAAAAAUCAGGACGGUGGAGAAGAAUUUUUAUAGCUAGUUGUUGCGCUGAGAAUGAAGAAGGAGAAUGGAAUCCAAGAGUUAGGAAAAUUAAUAUGUUCAGAUUGUUAUAAAACUAAACUCAAAGAAAAAUAAGAACAAGAGAAAAUAUGGAGAGGGAGAGAGUUUCUUAUUGAGGUGUAUGGAAUGNNN
rnacentral:lncRNA from 1 species